rnacentral:rRNA from 1 species
UACAGGGGGGGCAAGCGUUGUUCGGAUUUACUGGGCGUAAAGAGCGCGCAGGCGGUCGUACAAGUCGCGUGUGAAAGCCCCCGGCUCAACUGGGGAGGGUCACGCAAUACUGUUCGACUCGAAGGCAGGAGAGGGUAGUGGAAUUCCCGGUGUAGUGGUGAAAUGCGUAGAUAUCGGGAGGAACACCAGUGGCGAAGGCGACUACCUGGCCUGUUUCUUGACGCUGAGGCGCGAAAGCUAGGGGAGCAAACGGG